rnacentral:rRNA from 1 species
AUACGGAAGGUGCAAGCGUUAAUCGGAAUCACUGGGCGUAAAGCGCUCGUAGGUGGCUUUGUAAGUCAGGUGUGAAAGCCCACGGCUCAACCGUGGAACUGCGUUCGAAACUGGGAGGCUUGAGUCCUGGAGAGGGUGGCGGAAUUCCGGGUGUAGGAGUGAAAUCCGUAGAUAUUCGGAGGAACACCAGUGGCGAAGGCGGCUUACUGGUCCAUUACUGACGCUGAGGUGCGAAAGCGUGGGGAGC